rnacentral:rRNA from 1 species
AGCGAACGCUGGCGGCGUGCCUAACACAUGCAAGUCGAACGGUUCUGUUGGGGGCUUGCUCUCGACAGAGUAGUGGCAAACGGGUGAGUAACACGUGGGUAAUCUUCCUUCGAGUGAGGAAUAACUUCGGGAAACCGGAGCUAAUACUGCAUAACAUCUUGGAACGGCAGUUUCAAGAUCAAAGGGGGCGCAAGCUCCCGCUUGAAGUUGAGCUCGCGUCCUAUCAGCUAGUUGGUGAGGUAAUGGCUCACCAAGGCUCCGACGGGUAGCCGGCCUGAGAGGGUGGCCGGCCACACUGGGACUGAGACACGGCCCAGACUCCUACGGGAGGCAGCAGUGGGGAAUAUUGCGCAAUGGACGAAAGUCUGACGCAGCGACGCCGCGUGGGUGAUGAAGGCCUUCGGGUCGUAAAGCCCUGUUGAGGGAGAGAAAGCUAACUGUCGGUUAAUACCCGGCAGUGGUGAUAGUAGUCCCUAAGGAAAGCACCGGCUAACUACGUAGGCCACG